rnacentral:lncRNA from 1 species
CUACGGUGAAAAAGACCCCCUUUCUCUUCACAUUUUUAUCUUCCUCAUCUCACACCCCUUUCAACACCAACAAUCACUCUCCAAACACCGCUCCAGCCGACCAUCUCCAACCACCCUCUAUCGCCGGAGACAGUAGCAACACGACCAACCGUAAGCAGCCGCAGCUGCUCACCGCCGCUCUACGCCAGAACCCGCCGUCUCCAGCCGCCGGACCACCAUUAUCAUCGUUGAGCAUUCAACCACCACCCAAACGCCAUGGUCUGCCACCAAACGACCAAAUGACUCACUCCUCUCCCAAGGUGUCACUGUUUUCCGUCCAAACGACUCCCCACACACACAAUCACAAGCAGAAGGUCGGACAUCUUGUUUUUGCGAGCUUCCUCGUUUGAUUUUCAGUUUUGGAACCAUAGAGUCCGACGGAGUUUUAUAGAAGUCAUUUUAGUUUCGAGCUUUCCGGCGCCAAAUCCAAGUUUGUUCUGAUCCGAGAUUUUGGUUCGAUUUUUGCCGAUUCAUUCGAAGCCGCGUCGUCAUUCAGUCCGUAUAAACUUCAGGUUCAUCUUUGUCUUGUUGGUUUCUCUCUUUCAAAUUUAAUUUGUUCAUGCGAGUGUCCACUGUAGUCUUUGUUUCAUCAGAUCUGGAUGUGUUUGUGGUGAAGAAGAUGUUAGUAUUAAUUAGUUGCCUUGUUUCUUUUUCUGAUUUGCCUUUAACAUAUAGGUGUAUCGUUGGUUAUUUCAUUUUUAUCAUGAAGAUUGGAUUGAUUCCUUAUGUCUUGUUAAUUUUUGGUCUCAUUAGUUUUGUUCAAAUAUAUUAACUUCAUGAACUUUACUGCCAUAAGCUUAUUGAGAAGCUCUUUCCUGAUGCAAAACAAAAAAACGGUAUAUGAAUUUUGUUGAUAAAUUAAAGAAAAAAACUGACUCCCAAUUUGGGUAUAGCUAAAUCAUGGUUUCGCACGGGGUAGAGUUGGGUUGCUAUUCUUUAACUGAACUACGUAAUUAGAUUAAAGGAAUUUGGGUUUUGAGUUAGGUAAAGGAUUUUAGACUAAAAGGUUCGUCCUUUUGUUUGGACCCGGGCUUGAACUUAAGGCCCCGAUUUUAAAUAAUUAAUUAGGAUAUUUCUUUCAUUAUUAGAGACAAAAAAUCAACAAGAUUGAAAAUAUAGUUAUCUUUUAGGUUUAUCCUUUAAAAUAAAAUGACGAGCCUCGCCAACAAAAGUACAAAUUAUGGGGCCCUCAAUAAAGGUUUAAAAUAUCUAGAAAAUCGGGAAGGGUCGUUUAGCGAAUAUCAUGACCCCCCCAAAAGAUAAUAACGUGUUAGACUCUUUUAGGCGCGACUUUAAUAAUUUAUAUUCGUGAAUAUGGGUGGGCAUUUUGUGCGGUCCAAAUCCAAAUCCUAAAACGUUGAAUAGAGUGUGCCUAGGAUUGCAGGUUCAUUUGACGCAGGGCAGUCCGAAAACACAUUUUAAACGAUGUUCACUUUUUCAAAUAAAUAUUAUAUUAAAUAAAAGCGGUUAAGCAUAAAAUUGGCACAUAGGCUCUUCAUGNNNNNNNNNNNNNNNNNNNNNNNNNNNNNNNNNNNNNNNNNNNNNNNNNNNNNNNNNNNNNNNNNNNNNNNNNNNNNNNNNNNNNNNNNNNNNNNNNNNNNNNNAACAGUUGAGCGACCGUGCUAGAACCACAGAACCCGGGAAUGCCAAACACCUUCUCCCGGGUUAACAGAAUUCCUUAUCCGGAUUUCUGGUUUGCAGACUAUGAACAUAGUCAUCUCUUUCCUCGGUUCAGGAUUCAACCGGUGAUUUAGGACCAUUAAUCUCCCAAGUGGUGACUCUGAAAUCUUAAUAAAUAAAUCCCGUUCUGAUUGUCCUUUGGCGGGGGUGUACAGCGAAAAAAGAGGCGUGACACCGUAAUCAAUGCACAUCCUCAUCAACCCAUCCUUUUUCUUUACAAAAAAUAUUGGUACACCCCAAGGUGAUACACUGGGUCUAAUGAAACCCUUAUCAAGCAAGUCCUGAAGCUGCUCCUUCAACUCUUUCAACUCUGGCGGGGGACAUGCGAUACAACGGAAUGGAAAUAGGCUGAGUUCCAGGAGCCAGAUCAAUACAGAAAUCAAUAUUCCUGUCUGGCGACAUACCCGGCAGGUCUGAAGGGAAAACCUCGGGGUACUCCCAAACAAUAGGAACAGAGUCGAUAGAUGAAAUCUCUGCGCUGGAGUCGCGAACAUACGCCAAAUAUGCUAGACACCCCUUCUCAACCAUAUGUCGAGCCUUGACAUACGAAAUAACACUACGGGUGGCAUGACCUGGAGUCCCCCUCCACUCAAGUCAGGGCAAAUCUGGCAAGGCCAAAGGAACGGCCUUGGCGUGACAAUCCAAAAUAGCACGAUACGGGGACAACCGGUCCAUCCCCAAUAUAACAUCAAAGUCAAACAUGUCUAAUAGCAAUAAGUUGACAAGGGUCUAAAUACCCUCAAAUAACACCACACAAGAACGAUGCACUCGGUCGAUCACUGUAGAAUCACCAAACGGUGUGGACACAUAUACAGGAAUACCUAAAGCCUCACUAGGCAUGAUCAAAUAGGGUGCAAAAUAGAACGACACAUAAGAAUAAGUAGAUCCCGGAUCAAAUAAUACUGAAGCACCCCUAUGACAAACCAGCAAAGUACCUGCAAUCACGGCAUCAGAUGACUCGACAUCCGGCCUGGCAGGCAAUGCAUAACAACGGGGCUGGCCCCUACCUCUCUGAACUGUAUCUCUGGGACGAUCUGCUGCGUGUUGACCCCUGCCUCUAGCUGUCCGAGCUCCACCUCGACGGUCUCUACCUCCACCUUUAUGAUCCCUACCCCCGCCUCUUGCUGGCUGGGCGGCCUGUGGAUCACAUGCUGCCUGAAUCGUAGGGCGAGGACCCUACUUCUGAGAACUACUCGAGGCUCGAGGGCAAAACUUGACAAUAUGACCGGGUCAUCACAACCAUAACAUGCCCUCGGCUGCUGAGACUUCUUGCCCUGUCGACCGGUAUGUCCUCCCCUGAAGCUCUGAAGUGGCGAUGUAGUGAUAGGGGCUGGUGGUGAGCUGAAUGUCUGAUGGUACGAAUAAUACUGCUAAGGACCCCCACCGCCUGGAAUGCCAUACGAAACCUGAAGUACCGACUGGAAGGGCCUCGGGGGAUGGCCUCUGUCAUAGGAAUCCUCUAGAUGAGGUACCACUAAUCUACUAGAAUGUCGAGGCAUCUUGUCUGAACUCAGACUACCCACUCGAACCAGUGCCAUCUCUACCAGGCGGGCCGCAUUGGCCGCCUCCUGAAAGAAAAUAUCACUGCCAACUCCCAUAGCCAUCUAAAGGCAAAUUGGCUGAAUCAAUCCAUCAAUAAACCUCCAGACCCUCUCUCGCUCUGUAGGGAGUAUCACAACUACAUGGUGUGCCAAGUCAAUAAAGCUGGUCUUAUACUAUGUAACUGUCAUAGAGCCCUGCUGGAGGCGCUCAAACUGUCUGCAAAGUGCCUCCCGCUGAGUGACGGAGAGAAACUUCUCCAAAAAUAACUCCACAAACUGAUCCCAUGUCAAAGGUGGAGACCCUGCUGGUCUAGAUAGACAAUAAUCUCUCCACCAAGUCUUGCGGGAUCCUGCAAGCCUGAAGGUGUAAAAAUCGAGCCCAUUGGCCUCCACUAUACCUAUAGUCCGGAGGAUCUCAUGACAACUGAAUAGGAAAUCCCAGGGAUCCUACGAUGAAGCACCGCUGAAAGUGGUGGUGAAAAGCUUGGAGAACCGAUCAAGUCUCCAUAAAGCAUUCGAAGACAUGGUCGUCCCAUCUCUGGCCGGAGCUGUAAUACAUGUCUGAAAUGCCACUGCGGGCUGAACCAAUGGAACCUGAAUCUAGGGAGCUACCUGCUCUGGAGUACGUGUACCAGGAGUCUAAACUCCUCCUCCAGCCUGAGAAGCGGCUGGUGCUACUGGCAGCAAACCCGCUCUAGCGACACUGUCAAUAAAGCUUGCUAUGCGGACGAGAGCAUCCUGGAGAUCGGGGGAAAACAUCACCCCUCUUGGGACCUGAGCUGGGCCCACUGGAGCUGGUGGGGCUGGAACCUCCUCAUCAAAGUCAAUAUGAGGCUCCACCUCUAGAACUGGUGCCUGGGGCUGUGCUCUGCCCCUACCAUGACCUCUGGCACGGCCUCGGCCCCUGCCUCUCGUGGGAGAUGCUGCUGGGGGCUCGGGGUGCUACGUAGAAGAGGAGGACGCACGUGUUCUCACCAUCUGCGAAAGAACAGAGUAGAACGACAAUCAAUAUUUGAAAAACAAAAUCGCACGACAAGAAUGAAAAAAAUGAAAUUUUUCCUAACUCUGUAGCCUGUGGGGGAUAAAUACAGACGUCUCCGUAUCAAUCCAUCAGACUCUACCGAGCUCGUCCAUGAGUUGUGAGACCCAAGUAACCUAGUGCUUUGAUACCAACUUGUCACGACCCGGAUUUUCCCACCAUCGGGAGUCGUGAUGGCGCCUACUGUAGGAGCUAGGCAAGCCAACCUUUUUAAAGCAUUUCACAAAAAUCCUUAAUCUAAAAUAGUAUAAUAACUGAAAUAAUUAAUAAAAAUCCACGCGGAAGACUUUUAACAAAAUAACAAUAGAACAAUGCGGAAAUCUGUAGCAUGCAUCUACCUAGUAUCUGGAGUCACUAUUCACGGACUACUAAAAGAGUACUAGAAACAUCAGUCUGAAGGAAAUAUAUAACAAGUCUGUUUUGAUACAAUAAAAACAAAUAGGAAGAGAUAGAUGAGACUCAAGGCCCACGAACGCCAGCAAACUGCCUCGGAGUCUCUGGACUAAAGGCUCGCUCCCUAGCUACUGAUGCGGUCCGUAAGCAGUAUCCUGACCUUUGCACAAAAGGGCACAUAAGUGUAGUAUCUGCACAACCGACCCCAUGUGCUGAUAAGUGCCCGGCGAGGUAGUGACAAGGCUAAACAAGACCUACAAAAACCAACCUAUACAGACGUAUGUGCAAUAACGGAAGGAUAACAAAAUUCAAAACAGAUAAUGGGAAAGGGACAAGCUGGGGGUGUAACAGUUCAUUUAUAAGUUCAACGAAUAAGAAAUGGAAAAUGAAUAUUUAACAUUAAUAAAAGAAAGCCAGUGAAUCAAAAACUGCACGGCACCACCCUUCGUGCUUUUACUCUCAUUUCUCACCAAAACUUUCAAAUAUAACGCACGACACCACCCUUCGUGCUUUUACUCUCAAUACAUAGUGCACGGCAUCGCCCUUCGUGUUUUCCUCACAUAACUCUCACAUCAAGGCACAGAAUGACCCUUCUUGCUCAAAUAAUCAAGAAACAUGGCACGGAAAGACCCUUUGUGCAAAAUCUCUCUCUUCCUCACCCAAUCAAUGGUCACAACCAAACAGGAAAGGGAUAUACAACAAGAUAAAAAAUCCCGGCAAUGGAGAACAACUCUAAAACAAGUCCCGGCAAGGGAGAAUAACUCAACAAUAAGUCCCGGCAAGGGAGAAUAACUCAACAAUAAGUCCCGGUAAGGGAAAAUAGCUAAACAAUAAGUCUCGGCAAGGGAAAAAUACCAAAAUUCCUUCUUUAGCUCAUUUACUUCUCAACCAACACUUUAUGGUGCAUUUAACAAGUAAUUAUCACAAUUAUUCACUUCUUUCGAAAUUUUUAUAGCAAUUAUGACUCACACUCAUGCUAGACUCGGGCGCAUAGGUAACCGUCACCAUACGUAUACACCGACUCCACAUAGCACAUUUUUUGAAAUUUUAAUAGCAAUUAUGACUCACGGCCAUGCUAGACUCAGGUGCAUAGGUAACCGUCACCAUACCUAUACACCGACUCCACAUAGCACGUAGCAAUUAUUAUCCUAAUCCUAUUCCCUCAAGCCAAAGUUAGAUCAAAUACUUACCUCGAAUCCGAAAAUAGCAACUCAAAGCUCAAAAAUCGCCUUUCCUCUAGAAUUCAACCCUGAACCAACAAUAUCUAACAUAAAUUAACUCAAUAUUAUCAAUAAUAGCACAAGGAUACAAUUUCCUAGCUUAGAAAUGCAUUUUCUGACUUUCUUCCAAAAAUACCAAAAUUCGACACGGGCCCACAUGGUCCAAACUCGAGGCUCGGACCAAAUUUUGAUUAUCCAUAACCCCAUGAGUCCAAAUAUGCAAUUUGUUUUGAAAUCGGACCCAAAAUUGAGGUCCAAAUCCCUAAUUUUAAGAAAACCUAGGUUCUAUCCCAAAUCCCCAUUUUUACCCAUUGAAAGCUUUGAUUUUCAAUUUUAUGAAAACCUAGGCUCUACCCCAAAUCCCUAUUUUUACCCAUUGAAAGCUUUGAUUUUAAGUUGAAAUCAUGACAAAAGAUGUUAAAGUUUGAAGAAAUUGAGUAAAAGUUGAUUUACAAGUGAUAUGGGAGAGAAGGAGUCGAGAGGAAAUCGCCAAUGGAGGUUUGAGUUUUGAAAAUAUGAAAAAUGAGGUUUGAAAUUAUCUAAGUAUAGGAUGCACUGUCGCAGAUGUCGCAAUAGCGAAGUUUUGUUUGCAAUUUCAAAGAACGCAGAAGGAAUGGCAGAUAUCGCAAUUACGAGAAAUUGUUUGCAAUUGCGAAGAGGGCAGAUUUUGGGCGGGGCUCGCAUUUGCGAGAAUGUCUUCGCAUUUGCGAAUACUGGGCUUUAAAGGGGGGAUCGCAUUUGCGAAAAUUGCUUCGAAUUUGCGGAGUCUGGCUAUAAAAAGGGAGGAUCUCAUUUGCGAUUCAUUCCUCGCAUUUGCAGUACGGCAGGCCAUUGGGGGAAGGCUCGCAUUUGCGAGGCUGGCUUGGCAAAUGUGAUGACUGCAGAUACCGGCUGCUACAAUGCUACAAAAUGAUCCUAACACCUAUCUGAAACUCGCUCGAGCCCUCGGGGCUCCAACCCAAACAUGCACCUAACCUCAAGAACAUCAUAUGGACUUACUCGUGCGAUCAAAUCACCAAAAUAACAUCAAAAUCAAAGAAUCAACCUUCAAAACUCAUGAUUUUCANNNNNNNNNNNNNNNNNNNNNNNNNNNNNNNNNNNNNNNNNNNNNNNNNNNNNNNNNNNNNNNNNNNNNNNNNNNNNNNNNNNNNNNNNNNNNNNNNNNNNNNNNNNNNNNNNNNNNNNNNNNNNNNNNNNNNNNNNNNNNNNNNNNNNNNNNNNNNNNNNNNNNNNNNNNNNNNNNNNNNUUAUACCGGGCUUCGGAACCAAAAUACGAGCCCGAUACCAUUACUUUUGAUCAAAUAUCAAUUUUGUUUUUCUUAUGCAUUUUCAGAAAAUAAUUUUACGGAAAAGUUCCGUACUCGGGCCUCGUACCUCCGAUUUCUAAUCCGGGAGUAUGAACGGGUCCCAAAUUUCCAUACGGAUCCUCCGGGACUGUUACAUUAUGGGUCCGGGUCCGUCUACCCAAAAUAUUGAUCAAAGUAAACUAUAGCUAUAUUAUUGUCAUAAUUCAUAGUUUUUAAUACAGAAUUCAAAUAUUUCCACAUAACAAAUUUUCGGCUUCGCACCCGGACUGCGCACGCAAUUCAUGGUAUCCAAAUAUGAGAUUUUCAAUGCCUCAGAAGCACAAAGAAAGGAAGAAUUAUGGUGAUGACCCUUUGGGUCAUCACACUAUGAGGUAUGAUGCCCUGGUUUUCCACAAACUAAACAAGAGCCCUUUUUUAGGAUUUUUAGGCUUGCAACCUUGAGAAUUAUUCUUAUACCUUUUGCGGUUGUUGUUGCUGCUUUGCACUAAGUUUUCUUUGAGAGCUGUCAUCCUAGAUUUGGCAGAUUCUUUUCUGUUGGAAUCUUUAAUUUGGAUGCGGGUUACAAUUUCCUCAAUGGUGAAAUUUUUCUGUUUGUGCUUUAAGUUAUUUUUGUAGUCACUCCAUGAGUUAGGCGGCUUUCAAUUAGCACUCCAAUAACAAACGUUUUUGGUAAAGACAUCCCCUUGACCUUCAAAUCUUCUAACAAUUUUUGAAAUUCGUUGAUUUGUAUGUUCAUCUCUUUAUCAUCUCUCAUCUGCCACUGAUAAAAUUUUCAUACUACAAAUUCUUAUUUUGUAGCAUCUUUAACAGUGAAUUUUUUAAUUAAAGUUCCCCAUAUAGCUUUUGCUUCUUUAUAACUUCAAUACACGUCAAACAGUUCAUUAGAAAUAGUUUACAACAUUGUAUGAUGGCACACCUUAUUGGCAUAUUGCCACUGAUUCCAUUAUUUUAUUAUCAACGUCUGCACUAGGUUGUGGAUGCAGCAGUGGAUGUGUAACACUAU